CGGCAUCCGGGUCCUUGAAGUAUACUUCUUUUCGCCGGAUCUGAAUUGGAACGUACUGCGUAAAAUUUUGGCUAGGGAUGUCAUACUGCAGCAGUUCGACAGUCUCCUGUCCUUGGAGAGCCGGAGUGAGGACUUCCUCUCCUUUCAACCCAUGCAGAAGAGGCUGGACAUCUUCCUGAGCAGCGCCAUGGAGCCUUAUCCCGAGCUGUGGGCCUUCUGCAAGAAGCUGCUCAUCCUCUCCCACGGUCAAGCUAGUUGAGCGUGGAUUCUCAAUCAAUAAAGAGGUGGAGUCUGAUAACUUGGCGGAGGAUACUGUGGUCACACGGAGACUGGUGUGUGACUACAUCAUACAACGUGGAGGCGUUACCAAGGUUCCAUUCAGUAAACCGCUACUGGAAAGUGUAGCAAGGGCAAGGACAAGGUAUCGUACCCAUCUGGAGACCAAAAGAAGGAACAGGGAGGAAAAAGACCAGGCUCUCAAGAGGAGGGAAGCAGAGGACUGUCUUGAGGAGCUGAAGGUUAAGAGGAGACGUGUACAGGAGGUAUCUGAGGGUCUGGCUAGGGAUGCGGACAAGAUGGCUGAGGAGGCUGAAGCGAAGGCAGGGAGCAAGAUGGCUGGCCUGAUCACCAGGUCAAACAUCUUGCGGAGAGGCCAUAAGGAGAAGUUGGCAGAACUGGCUCUCCUUGAUAAAGAGAUCGCUGCUAAGAGUGCAGAGCUUAGGAGUUGACUGUGUGAUGGUGAUCAUAAUUUUAUUUAUUGUUGAGUUGAUUUUUAUUUUUCAGGAGUCUGUGCUGUUGGCGUAAGUACUCACCACUAUGCUGCAAUGUUCCAUCAUUCCAUAAUGCUUUACAGUCCACAUUUUCACAUUUGUUGAAAUAAAUGAACACAUUUUGAACAAACGUUGUCGGUAGGUCUGUGAAAUAGGCCGUGAAAUAGGU
ensembl:lncRNA